UACGUAGGGGGCUAGCGUUGUCCGGAAUCAUUGGGCGUAAAGCGCGUGUAGGCGGUCCGGUAAGUCCGCUGUGAAAGUCGGGGGCUCAACCCUCGAAUGCCGGUGGAUACUGUCGGGCUAGAGUGCGGAAGAGGCGAGUGGAAUUCCUGGUGUAGCGGUGAAAUGCGCAGAUAUCAGGAGGAACACCAAUUGCGAAGGCAGCUCGCUGGGACGUCACUGACGCUGAGACGCGAAAGCGUGGGGAGCGAACAGG
rnacentral:rRNA from 1 species